rnacentral:lncRNA from 1 species
GGAUCAUCAUGACUCGCCGCCGCCGGAGGAGGAGCACCGGCGCCGGAAGUAGAGUGUGUAGAUUCGUACUCGUUGAGAUACUUCUCGGCCUUCUCGAGGUACUGACCAGCACCGCUUUUUUCAUCGAGCUUACCGUACUUCUCGGCGGCGUCUAAGAUAUCAGCGCUGGCUCCGGCGACUUUACCCUUGUCGAGUUUGUCGGAUUCGUUACGAGCUGCGGCUUGAGCAGCUUCGGCUACAAUCUUGGCACUAGCCAUGACCUCGGCGGAGGAAGCUGGUCUAUUGGUUGUUUCGGUUCCUUCGACGGGCUUGUUGUGCUCCGGCUCCGCCGUUUUCGUGUCGGAGAGUUUCUUUACCUGAUCAGAGAUGAAGUUCAUCUUUUGGUUUUUUUUUUUCUCGCUGAAUAUAGUUUUUUUUUUGUUGGAUGUAAGAGUUAAGAGAAUGGGAUAUGUGUAUAUAUAGACAGAAAAUGGAUAUUUAUCCACUAUAGGGAUAUUAUUUUUUGUAGUUAAUAACAAUACAAUAUUGUGUACGUAACUCAUUUCUAUAUUAUUAUUUAAGUAGACAUUUUUAAAUAUAAAUUUUAUUUUGUAAAAUAUUACAUGAUAUAUCAUUACAAAUAUCAAAGAAUAAUUAAAUUAAAAAAGGAUAUAGUUAUCUUUCAAAUUUAUUGACAAAAAUAUGGAAAGUCUUUGUUUCUGAAUUUUAAAAUAUGAUAGUUUUUAUAUUUUUGUUUUAAAUAAUAUCAUAAAGUAUAUUUAAUUAAAAAACAUGAAAAUAUUUUGUUUUCACAAUUAAAUAAUAUAAAAGUCAAAACUAAAAUUUAUAAUAUUUAAAAAUGGUGAAAUAUUUUUUACUUUAAUUUGCUAUAUUUAUUUCAUUAUAUAUGAAAUUUAUUUUAAAUUAUUUUUUACCAAAAAAUGACAUGAAAAAAUAAUUUUUAGAAUAAAAAAUUAAUAUUGAAGUGAGAUUUAUUGAUGCCUAUUAUAAUUAGUUUUAUAUUUUAAUCCAGUACAAACAAGUAAACGGAUUAAUUCGGUAUGAAUGAAUUAUAAUUCUAAUUUUUUAAUAUUCACCAAAACAAAUUUUGCAUUUCAAAAUAUUAGUUUUAAAAUAGGUGGUAUAUUAAAUCCACUAAAUAUUAUAAUUUGUCUUUAAGAUUAAAUAAAUUUUGUUGCAUUUUUAUUUAUUAUAUAUCAAAUCUAAGUUUAAAGAAUAUUAUACUAUUUUCAUAUAUUGUUAGAAGAUAAAAAUAUUUUUUUAUAGUUUGUGGACAGAUUAUAAAAUUCAGUUACUAAGCGAUGUAGUUGAUUUUAAUGAUAUUAUAAUAUUUUGUGUAUUAGUUUGAAUAAUAUUUCAGUUUAAUGUUAACGGGUUAAAUGAACAGUUUAUUUUGCUUUAUCUUUUUAUAACAUAUACGGAUUAACUUAAUUUUUAUAAUUCAAACUAAAAAAAAAUUAUAUACGAAUCAACUCAUUUUUAAAAAUUCACAAAAUAUGCACUACAUUAUCAUAAACUUUAUAGAAAUAACUGUUUUUAUAAAAUAACUAUUUUUGUAAAAUGAUUUAACUUAAUUGAAGAUAAAAAAAUGUUUCCAAAAAGAUCUAGUCACUUUAGUUUGUCGUGUUUAAUACUCCUACUAUUUCUUCUUAAUAAUUGUUGUGUAUGUUACAACUUACACAAAUGUGUAUAUCUUUGUAAUUUGUACGUUGAUGAGGUUACCUAAUAGGCUAAUACACUAACAAUUGUUAAUGUCGUUGUUUGUCGUGGCCGAAAAUACAUUUAGGGAUCAGUUAUUACAAAAUAUUUGUGACGAAUGUGCUGUUCUCUUGUCGAUCACACAUAUUAGAUAUUUCUUUUGUGGUGUUCAAUGCAUUGUCCUAUCACAUAAACAUCUAUGAAAUUAUUGUUUUCCAUUGAAGGUUGUCGUGUUGGUGGAAGCUUUGAUGGGUGAUAAAGGCAAUCACUUUAUUUUGUCGGCAGAGUAAUACAAGCUUUUUUUUUUUUUUUUUCUUUUCUAUUAAUCUCCCAGCUUGAUUCGGGUGCCCUAAGCAAAUUAGUUGAGCCCACAAUAAGUGACAUUAGUGACCCAAUAUUUACAUUGUGUUCUUAAAAGUUUUUAAACCCGAUUAGCGUUAGUGACAGAUACAUUUUAGAAAGGGCUCCAUCCGGGUUUUGUUGGCUUCGGUUUGAUAGAAUAGUAAUUAACGCAAAAUGGAAUCUUAUAUGAACCGGUUUGGCAUGAUGUUUAUAUUGGUUUGAGUUUGACUUUAAAUCAAAUAUAUGAAAUUCCAAAAAUUAAGUUCGAUUUAUUUUCUCAAUUUGGAUUUUUUUCUUUUCCUUUUCUAAUUUAAGAGAGAGUAUUAUAUUAUCAUGUGGUGGUUUUAAAUGGGUUCAAUAGGGUACAUGAUAAGCUCUUGAAAACAAAAGAUUUCCUGCAUUUGUAUUUAUGCGGUGGUGUCUGUUGGUUUUCUUAUGCUUCCAGGACCGUAUAAAGUCACUAUAAACAAGACAUCUGAAGCAAUGAUAUUUUUGGUUUUUCAGCUACCCAUGAAAACCAAGCUGAAGACGAUGAUGCUGCUCACGUUGAGGCGUUGGCCUCCCCUCCGGUCCUGAUAUCACUACCCGAGGUACCGCAGACCCCGAUAUGCCGGAUUGAUGCUUUUUGGAUCAAUCACGGACAGGUUAGCGGCCUUGGUUGGAGUUUUAAGGAUGACAGAGGAACAGAGAUUUUUGGUCUACAGAGAUGUCGUAGAAGUCUCUCGGCUCUUCACGCCGAGAUGGAUUGCCUCUUAUGGGCUAUGUCAUGCCUGAGAGAAAUACAGAUGACGUCGGUGCAUUUUUAGACCGACUGCUCGGAUCUUGUGAGCAUGUGUGAAUCACCAGCAGACUGGCCAUCUUUUAAGACAGAAUUGGAAUCCUUUUGUAUACUUCGCGAGAGCUUCUCAGAGUUUACCUUAUCCUAUAUUCCGAGAAUUCAAAAUGUCCGGACGGAUAGUCUUGCAAAAUGAGCUCGAGCGAGAGGAGUUAUUUUUUCCCAAAUCGAUCAUAACGAGCCGGUCGAAGAUGGUUUUCAAACCACUUCUAAGAUAGGCCAAAUGUGAUUGUAAUAGUUGGAUAGCGGAAAAAAAAAAGCUACUAAUGAAUUUUUUUGAUAAAACUGUUGAACGACGUAAGAUAUGAUGGAUCGAUUCAAGAUAUUCUACGGUCUUUCUUUCUGUUAGAAUUUAUUUUAAUUAAUUUUUGGUUGAAAUAAGUUAAAAAAGCUAUUUAUAUUUUGAAAGCUCACAUUCAAAUUAAUUGAUUUAGUUCCAUUUUUGGUCAUAGUUUUAAAACCACCUGUUAUUUAUAAAAAAAUUUCAAUGGCAUACAAAUAUUUUGGUAUUUCAGCACUACUUGAAAUAAAAAUACCAAGAUAAUUACGAAAAUUGGUUCGAAAAAAUCAUAUGUAAAACUCGUUGAUCCAAAUCUGCUGCACUCUGUUUUCGCUGUCCCAUAUGCACAAAAACCACACAAGAUAAUCUUAAGGUAAUUUCAAGAAACUUCUUGUUGUUUCUAAAAUUAAAUGCAGAUCUGUUUUUUUUUUUUGUUUUGUUGUUGCUCUUUGCCUUAUUGAUGUUUCUUUCUUUCUCUUUGUAUGCAGCAUUGUCUAUGGCUUUUUGUGUCUAACAUCAGUGGAUCAAGCUGAUCAACUGGCAGAAAAAACUCAAAUCUUUCAAAGAUGGAAACUUUUUUUUUGUUUUUCCUGUAAAUUAUCCAAACUUUUAAUAAAUGUUACUUUUGUGAUUUUUCUAUGCAACAAGAUUUGAAAGAACAAUGUUUCUUCGUUGUGUAGCUAUCAAAAGGUGUCUUUGGCGUAAGAAUCAGAGGAGAACAUUUUCCACUAAUCUCCAAAUAUCUCAAGUGCACUCCAACAUAAUUGGAGAAGCAAUAGGUUUGAACUCCGGGGAUCGAGUGAGACUCUAGGGAUUGAUUAGAAUAAGCAACAUUUCCUUAUCUCCUUAGACUUCAAAUUUUUUUUUUCUUGACAAAAGCUUCAAAAACAUUUAUAACAUUUUUUCAGAUAAAAGUGACUUUACUAUUUAUGUUGAAUGAAUUAAAUUUGUUGAUGAUACAUGUGAAGAAAUUUAAAUAUACACUUUGUAAUUAUAAGGAAUGAAUUCAAUUAUGUGCAAACGUAGGACAGUGGAUAUAAGCACUAUGAAGUUUAACUAUCUGUAAAUGUUCUAAUUUCAAAGAAUGAAAAAACUACUUUCCUAAAUUAACAUGUGACGAGUCAUAAUCAUAGUGUUGAAUUACACUUUUAUUUGUCUUAGGUAAACGUUUUCUCUCUGGAGACUGUUAAGAUCCAAUGGAUGACUUUGAAACUUAUUGGAGGAUAGAUCAUCAUCAAGUGCAUUCAAACAAAAUUGGCCAAGCAAUAGGAUUAAUCUUUGGGGAUCGAGUACCUUUGGGUAGACCUCAUUGUUGCAAAGCCUCCUUCUAAUAGUAACAGUGGUUAGAUACCAGAAUCUAUUCCCAAAAAGAUUGUGAAACCUGCAAGAUUUGAGAGUUUCUAUGGACAGUUGCCGGAUGAAAUCUUUAUACACAAUAUUCAAAGAUAUGGUGUAUAUGAUAAGUAAACAAUAAUUUUUUGAUGAGUUAUAAGUAUCCUACCAUAUAAAUGAGAAUUUUAAAAUCUCUGUACACAAUUCAAAGCUUGCAGAAUUUUUUAUUUU